rnacentral:rRNA from 1 species
AGCAGCCGCCGCGGUAAUACGAAGGGUGCAAGCGUUACUCGGAAUUACUGGGCGUAAAGCGUGUGUAGGUGGUUGUUUAAGUCUGUCGUGAAAGCCCUGGGCUCAACCUGGGAAUUGCGAUGGAUACUGGGCGACUAGAGUGCGGUAGAGGAUAGUGGAAUUUCCGGUGUAGCAGUGAAAUGCGUAGAGAUCGGAAGGAACAUCUGUGGCGAAGGCGACUAUCUGGGCCAACACUGACACUGAGACACGAAAGCGUGGGGAGCAAACAGGAUUAGAUACCCCGGUAGUCCCUGUCUCUUAUAC